UACGUAGGGACCAAGCGUUGUUCGGAUUUACUGGGCGUAAAGGGCGCGUAGGCGGCGUGGUAAGUCACUUGUGAAAUCUCUGAGCUUAACUCAGAACGGCCAAGUGAUACUGCUGUGCUAGAGUGCAGAAGGGGCAAUCGGAAUUCUUGGUGUAGCGGUGAAAUGCGUAGAUAUCAAGAGGAACACCUGAGGUGAAGACGGGUUGCUGGGCUGACACUGACGCUGGAGGCGCGAAAGCUAGGGGAGCAAACGGG
rnacentral:rRNA from 1 species